rnacentral:rRNA from 1 species
AUUGAACGCUGGCGGCAGGCCUAACACAUGCAAUUCGAACGAGUGGCGGACGGGUGAGUAGUGUCUGGGAAACUGCCUGAUGGCGGGGGAUAACUACUGGAACCGGUAGCUAAUACCGCAUACCAUCGGAUGUGCCCCUAUGGGAUUAGCUAGUAGGUGGGGUAAAGGCUCACCUAGGCGACGCUCCCUAGCUGGUCUGAGAGGAUGACCAGCCACACUGGAACUGAGACACGGUCCAGACUCCUACGGGAGGCAGCAGUGGGGAAUAUUGCACAAUGGGCGCAAGCCUGAUGCAGCCAUGCCGCGUGUAUGAAGAAGGCCUUCGGGUUGUAAAGUACUUUCAGCGGGGAGGCGUUACCCGCAGAAGAAGCACCGGCUAACUCCGUGCCAGCAGCCGCGGUAAUUC